AUUGUGAGGACUGGAGAUUUUAUACACAGCUUAUUAUAGUAGCUUUUCACAAAGGAGACCUUCAAGAAAUGGUAAUAACAGCUACUGGGAGUUGUGUGUCCUAAUAAUAACAAGAAUGGUAGUAAAUUAAAUACAAUUAAUUGUUCUAUGCCAAUUCUUCAAACAUACUUGGUAUUAAAGAGCCUUCAACUAAAACAGAGGGAUGGGAUAGAUUCUAAGGUUAUCAGUUUUUGUUUUAUACCAAACAACUAAGGGGAGUUCAAUUUAAAAAUUUAGUUUGAUCUUAGUUAUCAACAGGGAAGGGAAAGUUCUUUAGUUCCCUCUAGGUGAUGGUCAAAUAGUUGUAGCAAUGUCCAGGUGUAACUUUCAGUUAGGCAAAAAUUAAGAGAAAAACUUUGGAAAGUAAUCUUCCCUUUCCCAUGAAGCUUCUUUUAAUGUUCCUUGAUAUCAUAAAAGCAAUAUCUGCUAAUUGAGGGGCAAUCAAAAUAACCAAAAAGGACUUAGAAAGUUUUAUGUCAUCUUAAUUUUUUUUUUCCAGCAGGAAGAAAAUAAACUUCCUAAAGCAUUCUUUUAAAAUAAACAGGAGCCACAGCAAUGGAAGUAUUUUUUAAAAAUUGCAUCCAGUCUUUUCAUCUCCUUAAAAACCAAUGCUUGUUAAAGAACAAAAAGUUGGCUUGUCACAGAAAAAGACCACUCACUGGGACGGGAGCAGACAAAUGCUAUACGCUAGCCACUUCUGGUCACUCAUGAUUUAGAUAACAAGGAGGAACCACUGACACUGUAAACUGCUAUUAAGUGAAAAUCGGGAGGAGGGUUCUGACUGGUUUCAAAGAGAAAGCUUUAAAACCUUAGGCUGUCUAUUUCUCAAACACCCAAUAUCCUUUAUCGGGUGGGAAAAACGUAAUACAGUGUUGCACCAUUCAAGCACUUUCCAACAUCGACACUCACACCAUCCACCCACUCCCACCUACUUGCCGGGGACCAAAUGUCCUCCCUAGAGACCCAGGGUGGGGAGGGCUGAGCGCUGCCUCUUGCCUUGUCGGCGGUGACAGACUUCGGCCCUCUAAGAUAAGGAUGUAGAGAAUCCCUAAUCAAACAGGCCGCCCAAAGAACAGCUGCCACCCAAUGCCUGGGAAGGCAGCAGUGGAAGUGUUCGGGAUAAAAAGUUGGACGCUCAGCUUUCCCGGGGCAUGGUAGUCACAUCGCAAGUCACUCAGUUGCGUCCGACUCUUUGCGACCCCAUGGACUGUAGCCUACCAGGCUCCUCCGUCCAUGGGAUUCUCCAGGCAGGAAUACUGGAGUGGGUUGCCGUGCCCCCCACUCCUUCAGGGAAUCUUCCCAACCCAGGGAUCCAACCCAGGUCUCCCGCAUUGCAGACAGAUUCUUUACCAUCUCAGCCACAAUUUCUGACGUGUCAAGGCUGAGUCGGUGGACACGUGGAUGUACCUGGAGAAGGAUUCCUCCCGAGAGAGCAUGGAAGCUCCAUGCUCUGUUCUCACAUACUGUGCCCUAUGCAUCUCGUCCAUCUGGGUGUUCAUUUCUUUCCCUAAGCCAUUCCAAAAAGUGGAAACAGGACACAGAACUCAAGACUUCUGAGCUAUAAAAGCACUACCCAGACUGAGUCAGAAAGAUGCCUGGGCA
ensembl:lncRNA